UGGGGAAUCUUGCGCAAUGGGCGAAAGCCUGACGCAGCCAUGCCGCGUGAAUGAUGAAGGUCUUAGGAUUGUAAAGUUCUUUCGCUCGUGACGAUGAUGACGGUAACAAGAGAAGAAGCCCCGGCUAACUUCGUGCCAGCAGCCGCGGUAAUACGAAGGGGGCUAGCGUUGUUCGGAAUUACUGGGCGUAAAGCGCGCGUAAGCGGCUUUGCAAGCCAGAGGUGAAAUGCCUGAGCUCAACUUAGGAAUUGCCUUUGGGACUGCGAGGCUUCGAGGACUGGAGAGGUGAGUGGAAUUCCCAGUGUAGAGGUGAAAUUCGUAGAUAUUGGGAAGAACACCAGUGGCGAAGGCGGCUCACUGGCCAGUUUCUGACGCUAAAGUGCGAAAGCGUGGGGAUCAAACAGGAUUAGAUACCCCGGUAGUCCCUGAGCGGGCUGGCAAGGCGCAU
rnacentral:rRNA from 1 species